GACGAACGCUGGCGGCGUGCUUAACACAUGCAAGUCGAACGGAAAGGCCCUUCGGGGUACUCGAGUGGCGAACGGGAGAGUAACACGUGGGUGAUCUGCCCUGCACUUUGGGAUAAGCCUGGGAAACUGGGUCUAAUACCGAAUAGGACCACGCGCUUCAUGGGGUGUGGGGGAAAGGUUUUGCGGCGGGGGAUGGGCCCGCGGCCUAUCAGCUUGUUGGUGGGGUAAUGGCCUACCAAGGCGACGACGGGUAGCCGGCCUGAGAGGGUGACCGGCCACACUGGGACUGAGAUACGGCCCAGACUCCUACGGGAGGCAGCAGUGGGGAAUAUUGCACAAUGGGCGCAAGCCUGAUGCAGCGACGCCGCGUGAGGGAUGACGGCCUUCGGGUUGUAAACCUCUUUCAAUAGGGACGAAGCGCAAGUGACGGUACCUAUAGAAGAAGCACCGGCCAACUACGUG
rnacentral:rRNA from 1 species